GUCUACAGCCCUACCACCCUGAACACACCCCAUCUUAUUUGAUCUCAGAAGCUAAGCAAGGUCAGGCCUGGUUAGUACUUGGAUGGGAGAAUUUAAAGGUAAAAAUGCUUUGUAAAAC
rnacentral:rRNA from 1 species